GGGGGAAAAACUCCCUUGACGGUACUUAAUGAAUAAGCCCUGGCUAAUUAUGUGCCAGCAGCCGCGGUAAUACAUAAGGGGCGAGCGUUAUCCGGAAUUAUUGGGCGUAAAGGGUGCGUAGGCGGUUUAAUAAGUCUAUAGUUUAAUUUCAGCGCUUAACGCUGUUGCGCUAUAGAAACUGUUUUACUAGAGUGAGUUAGAGGCAAGCGGAAUUCCAUGUGUAGCGGUAAAAUGCGUAAAUAUAUGGAGGAACACCAGAGGCGUAGGCGGCUUGCUGGGACUUUACUGACGCUGAGGCACGAAAGCGUGGGGAGCAAACAGGAUUAGAUACCCUGGUAGUCCACGCCGUAAACGAUGAGUACUAAGUGUCGGGUAAAACCGGUACUGAAGUUAACACAUUAAGUACUCCGCCUGAGUAGUACGUACGCAAGUAUGAAACUUAAAGGAAUUGACGGGACUCCGCACAAGCGGUGGAUCAUGUUGUUUAAUUCGAAGAUACACGAAAAACCUUACCAGGUCUUGACAUUUUCUUGCGAAGUUAUAGAAAUAUAAUGGAGGUUAUCAGGAAAACAGGUGGUGCAUGGUUGUCGUCAGCUCGUGUCGUGAGAUGUUAGGUUAAGUCCUAAAACGAGCGCAACCCUUGUCGUUAAUUGCCAGCAUGUAAUGAUGGGGACUUUAACGAGACUGCCAAUGAAAAAUUGGAGGAAGGUGGGGAUUACGUCAAAUCAUCAUGCCCCUUAUGAUCUGGGCUACAAACGUGAUACAAUGGUUGAUACAAAGAGUAGCUGAAACGCGAGUUCUUAGCCAAUCUCACAAAAUCAAUCUCAGUUUCGGAAACAAAUUUUUCCCCCUCUUAAUUUUUA
rnacentral:rRNA from 1 species